GUGAAUCAUCAAAUUUUUGAACGCACAUUGCACUCUCUGGUAUUCCGGAGAGUAUGCCUGUUUGAGGGUCAGUUUAAAUAAAAAUCGGUGUGGCUUCUGCCUUUCGUGGUGCCGUCCCGGAUUUGGGUCGUAUUGCCUUCGGUUACGUGACCUAAAGUUUUGCAUAAUUUUUUCGCUAGUAUUUAAUUGACAUUACGUACGUUUGCGCUAUCGCAUUCUAGG
rnacentral:misc_RNA from 1 species